rnacentral:tRNA from 1 species
GUAGAUUAGCCAAUUUGGUCAUAAUCGCGGCGGUAGAUAUUCUCUGUCUGUGGAACAGGAGGUCGGUGGUUCGAGCCCACCCAACUGUACCA